CAGGGAGACAACAAAAUGUUAAAUAUUAAUUUUGUCACCUUAGGUCGAUCGGUAUCUCAGAUUCUUAAAUUAUUUUAAGGAUUUCAUUUCCUAAGUUUUUUCUAGGUCACACCCAUACUUUCCCUGGGCCAUUAGCUCAGGUGGUUAGAGCGCACCCCUGAUAAGGGUGAGGUCCCUGGUUCAAGUCCAGGAUGGCCCAUAUCUCUAUGUUGGGGGUAUAGCUCAGUUGGUAGAGCGCCUGCUUUGCAAGCAGGAUGUCAGCGGUUCGAGUCCGUUUACCUCCACUGAUUACCACCUCUUCCAUGAAUUUAAAGAAGGGAAUUGUUAUUAGAUGUGAUUUAGUUCUGAACGAAUCUAGCUUCCUAAUAAAUAUAUUAAGAUGCUGGACUCAUUGAAUUUUAUUCAUUGUUUUCAGAGAACCUUGACAACUGCAUAGAUUAUUUUUAAAGACAAUAAGCAUCUUUAAUGAUGCAGAUUUAUUAUUUGUGCUAAUGCAUUAAUAACAAUUCUAUUGAGCUGAUGCUUCAAUUUUUUGAAGUUAUU
rnacentral:tRNA from 1 species